rnacentral:tRNA from 2 species
GCUCCAGUAGUAUAACGGUUAGAACAUCGCUUUCACAACGUGAUAGUACUGGAUCAGUCCAAUCCAAUUCAGCGGGGACCCAAGUUCGACUCUUGGCUGGAGCA